GCCUAAAAGGAGUUCUAGUUGAAGGAAAAAUCACCUUUUUUCUUGUAGGAUCUUCCAGAUCUAAUGAGAUCUGAGAUGAAAUAUUUUUUAAAAAAAAUUAUCCUAUAUUAUUUUAGAUCUAUGUGUCAGCCAAUUUGGCAUCUAGGGCACACAUCUAACAAACUCCCACUUGACCUAAUUCUAAUUGGCUACAUAUCUAAGUCUCAUCUUCUCAAGGUGGGCUUCGAUCUUCUGCUGGCCUAAUGACUUCGUCAGUGGGUCUGCCACAUUGUCUGUGGAGUCGACUCUCUUAACCUCGAUAUAACCCUUUUUAAGGUAAUC
rnacentral:lncRNA from 1 species